rnacentral:tRNA from 1 species
GAAGGUAUAGCUCAUUGGUAGAGCAUGUGCUUAGCAUGCAUGAGGUCCUGGGUUCAAUCCCCAGUACUUCCA